rnacentral:rRNA from 1 species
AUGUGGCACAAGAGAGAACUAGUCUCUGCCACCACCGUGAAACAAGCCAAGCUCACUUGCCAAUGCCCUCUGGUGGCAGGGCGCUAUGAGCGAGGGAGGAGGAAUAGGGGGGUAGAAAUAGAAUCAUCUGAGUUGAGAAGAAUUACUAAUAAUUUUUCGGACGCCCAAAAAGUUGGAAGUGGUGGCUAUGGAGACGUUUACAAGGCAGUCUACAAUGGGGAAGCCAUGGCAGUGAAGUUGCUUCAUGCGACCAAAGGAAUUGAUGACAGACAAUUCAUGAAGGAACUCCGUAACCAUAUGAAGGUCCAACAUCCAAACAUUGUACGUCUAGUUGGGUAUUGCAAUGAAGAGACCAAGAAAUAUGUUGAGCUACCUGAUGGCACGUCUGUUUUUGGUAGACACAUAUACAAAGUGCUCUGCUUUGAAUAUAUGGUUGGUAGAAGCUUAGAUAAGCGUCUGUCAGGAAUUUCUCUAGGAGAUGAAUGGCGCACACAUUACCAAAUAAUAAAGGGGACUUGUGAAGGUUUGUUUUAUCUUCACAAUGGAUGUGAAAAUCGGAUCCUCCACUUGGAUCUAAAGCCUGCCAAUGUAUUACUUGACAAGAGCAUGAAACCGAAAAUUGCGGAUUUUGGAUUGUCAAGGAUCUACACCGCAAGCCGUAGCCAUAUCAAAGUUGAUUCAGUUUCAGGGACAACGAAAUACAUGCCGCCUGAAUUAAUACACGGGAGCGAGAUGUCAGAUAAGACUGAUGUCUAUGGUUUAGGUGUUACAAUCAUAGAAGUAUGUGCAUAUUGGAGGAAGAGGGAUAGCACAACAAAUUUAUAUCAAGUGGAGACAUGCGCCAAAAUUGCAGAUCUCUAUGCACUCACGGUGAAUUCAUCCCCGGUUCCAGACAAGAUGUCCAUUACCAUUUCAGGAAGGAGGGCACUGGAUGUGGUGAUUGUCUAUGCCUUUGACUGUACUGACUCAACCCCAGCCUGGUACACAGUGGAUAAUGGGAUCUUUUGGUUGGUGCAAGAAAAGCUAACCAACUUGUGUGAUAGUUGCAUGGGCUAUAUUUACCCCAUGUCAACCCCUAACACAUACACAUCGGACAUGAAAGUAGUUGACUCAGCUGAGACAAAGGAAACUGGCUACACGGGAUUCGCCUGGCGCAGGAUGACUUGCAGUAAAAAUAUGGCAUCAGGCCUUGCCGAGGCCCAUAAAAUGAUCAGCAAUCGUGGUUGCCACAACGGCAUCAUAUUGUUCUUCUCUGACGGCUUAAUAAACAAAGGGGACUUCUUUGAUGGAACAGAGAACUUUGUCUCCAAAGUGCCUGUCCACACAUUUACCCUCGGUGGGGACGCAUAUAACCGUGUUCUCAACUCCAUUGCGGCCAAUUCUCCAGGAGGGAUGUUUCACACUAGCAUCGUUCCAGAAAGGCCAAAUCUGUCAACACCCUUCUCAAAACUACUGGAUGGCCUCCUUGGCACUACCUCAAAGGGCGAUGCGAUGCCUCUUAGUUACAUUUCAGGAAGGGAUCCACUAGAUGUGGUGAUUGUGUAUGCCUUUGACUGCACUGAAUCAACCCCAGCCUGGUACACGAUGGAUAAUGGGAUCUUUUGGUUGCUUCAAGAGAAGUUGAUACACUUCCCUGAAAGUUGCAUGGGUUACAUCUACAUCGACAUGACCCCAAACACAUACACAUCCGACAUGAAAGUAGUUGACCCAAAUGAGACGAAGGAAACUGGCUACACGAGAUCCGCAUGGCGUAGAAUGUCCUGUACUAAAAACAUGUCAUCAGGACUUGCCGACGCGCAUAAAAUGAUCAGCAACCGCGGGCACCACAAUGGCAUCAUAUUGUUCUUCUCUGAUGGCUUGAUAAACAAGGGGGACUUCUUUGAUGGAACUGAAAACUUUGUCUCCAAAGUGCCUGUCCACACAUUUACCCUCGGCGGGGACGCAUAUAACCAUGUUCUCCACUCCAUUGCAACAAAUUCUCCAGGUGGGAAGUUCCACACCAGCCCUGUUCCAGAAAGGCCAAACUUGUCAACAUCCUUCUCCAAGCUACUGGAUAACCUACUUGGCAGAACCCGAGAGGAUGAUGAGAGGUCUGUUAGUUCCAUUUCAGGAAGGGAGCCACUAGAUGUGGUGAUUGUGUAUGCCUUUGAAUGCACUGAAUCAACCCCAUCCUGGUACACGGUCGAUAAUGGGAUCUUUUGGUUGCGUCAAGAGAAGUUGACGCACUACCCUGAAAGUUGCAUGGGUUACAUCUAUGUUGACAUGACCCCAAAUACAUACACAUCCGACAUGAAAGUAGUUGACCCAAAUGAGACGAAGGAAACUGGCUAUACGAGAUUCGCAUGGCGUAGGAUGACCUGUACUAAAAACAUGGCAUCAGGACUUGCCGACGCGCAUAAAAUGAUCAGGAACCGCGGGCACCACAAUGGCAUCAUCUUGUUCUUCUCUGAUGGCUUGAUAAACAAGGGGGACUUCUUUGAUGGAACUGAAAACUUUGUCUCCAAAGUGCCUGUUCACACAUUUACCCUCGGCGGGGACGCAUAUAACCAUGUUCUCCACUCCAUUGCAACAAAUUCUCCAGGUGGGAAGUUCCACACCAGCCCUGUUCCAGAAAGGCCAAACCUACCAACAUCCUUCUCCAAGCUACUGGAUAACCUACUUGGCGGAACCCCAAAGGAAGAUGAGAGGCCUGCUACUUCUAUUUCAGGAAGGGAGCCACUAGAUGUGGUGAUUGUGUAUGCCUUUGACUGCACGGAAUCAACCCCAGCCUGGUACACGGUGGAUAAUGGGAUCUUUUGGUUGCUUCAAGAUAAGUUAACGCACUUCCCUGAAAGUUGCAUGGGUUACAUCUAUGUUGACAUGACCCCAAACACAUACACAUCCGACAUGAAAGCAGUUGACCCAAAUGAGACGAAGGAAACUGGCUACACGAGAUUCGCAUGGCGCAGGAUGACCUGUACUAAAAACAUGGCAUCAGGACUUGCUGACGCGCAUAAAAUGAUCAGCAACCGCGGGCACCACAAUGGCAUCAUCUUGUUCUUCUCUGAUGGCUUGAUAAACAAGGGGGACUUCUUUGAUGGAACUGAAAACUUUGUCUCCAAAGUGCCUGUUCACACAUUUACCCUCGGCGGGGACGCAUAUAACAAUGUUCUCCACUCCAUUGCAACAAAUUCUCCAGGUGGGAAGUUCCACACCAGCCCUGUUCCAGAAAGGCCAAACCUAUCAACAUCCUUCUCCAAGCUACUGGAUAACCUACUUGGCGGAACCCCAGAAGAUGAUGAGAGGCCUAUUAGUUCCAUUUCAGGAAGGGAGCCACUAGAUGUGGUGAUUGUGUAUGCCUUUGACUGCACGGAAUCAACCCCAGCCUGGUACACGGUGGAUAAUGGGAUCUUUUGGUUGCUUCAAGAGAAGUUGACGCACUUCCCUGAAAGUUGCAUGGGUUACAUCUACGUCGACAUGACCCCAAACACGUACACAUCAGACAUGAAAGUAGUUGACCCAAAUGAGACGAAGGAAACUGGCUACACAAGAUUCGCAUGGCGUAGGAUGACCUGUACUAAAAACAUGGCAUCAGGACUUGCAGAGGCGCAUAAAAUGAUCAACAACCGCGGGCACCACAAUGGCAUCAUCUUGUUCUUCUCUGAUGGCUUGCUAAACAAGGGGGACUUCUUUGAUGGAACUGAAAAUUUUGUCUCCAAAGUGCCUGUCCACACAUUUACCCUCGGCGGAGAUGCAUAUAACCAUGUUCUCCACUCCAUUGCAACAAAUUCUCCAGGUGGGAAGUUCCACACCAGCCCCGUCCCAGAAAGGCCAAACCUAUCAACAUCCUUCUCCAAGCUACUGGAUAGCCUACUUGGUGGAACCCCAGAGGAUGAUGAGAGGCCUGUUAGUUCCAUUUCAGGAAGGGAGCCACUUGAUGUGGUUAUUGUGUAUGCCUUUGACUGCACUGACUCAACCCCAGCCUGGCACACAGUGGAUAGUGGGGUCUUUUGGUUGGUGCAAGAGAAGCUGACCCAUUUUCCUGAUAGUUGCAUGGGUUACGUCUACGUCGACGUCACCCCAAACACAUACACGUCGGACAUGAAAGUAGUUGACCCAGCUGAGACAAAAGAAACUGGGUACACGGGAUUCGCCCGGCGCAGGAUGACCUGUGGCAAAAACAUGGCAUCAGGCCUUGCCGAGGCACAUAAAAUGCUCAAAAACCAUGAUUAUCACAACGGCAUAAUCUUGUUCUUCUCUGAUGGAUUGAUAAACAAGGGCGACUUUUUUGAAGGAACCGACAACUUCAUCUCCAAAGUGCCUGUCCACACAUUUACUGUCGGUGGUGACACAUAUAACCAUGAUCUCCAAGCCAUUGCAGCAAAUUCUCCAGGUGGGACGUUCAACGCAAUUCCAGUUCCAGAGAGACCACAUCUCUCAGUGCCCUUCUCGAAACUACUGGAUAGCCUCCUUAGCGGCACAAUGGAGGACAGAAAUCAUCAAUAG